AAGAAGUCCUCCCGAAAGGGAAUCACCGCAACCCAGCUCCUAAGAAACAUGAGAAACAGCUCUCUCCUUGGCACAUGGGCGAUUCUUUCUUUGAUGAAGAGGAGAGAGAAAUAUUUUAUGAGAUUAAAAGCCUCACAACGCUGGAGAAAAUCAUCAAAAGCCUUCAAAAAAUGCUAAGAGAGAACCUCAGGAAGAAGCACAGGCUGCACAAGAAGAGGCUGAAGGCCAGGCUCCUGCACAGGGACAGAAGGAGCCUUCCCUGAGCUCCCAGAAGAUGGCCAGGGCACCUUGUAAAGGACAGAGGACUUCGCUCGCCGGUGUGGCACCUAAUAAAAUCACCG